CUGUGGUCGCUGGGCGGCCUGCUGUACGCCUGUGUCGAAGGCGUGCCCCCGUACGACAAGGGGUCGGCGAUCGCGACGCUGACCGCGGU
rnacentral:tRNA from 1 species